rnacentral:rRNA from 1 species
GACGAACGCUGGCGGCGUGCCCAAUACAUGCAAGUAGGACGAGUUGCGAACGGGUGAGCAAUGUCUGGGAAACUGCCCGAGGGAGGGGGAUAACAACUGGAAACGGUAGCCAAUAACGCAUAGCAUCGGACGUGCCCAGAUGGGAUUAGCUUGUAGGUGGGGUAACGGCUAACCUAGGCGACGAUCCCUAGCUGGUCUGAGAGGAUGACCAGCCCCACUGGAACUGAGACACGGUCCAGACUCCUACGGGAGGCAGCAGUGGGGAAUAUUGCACAAUGGGCGCAAGCCUGAUGCAGCCAUGCCGCGUGUAUGAAGAAGGCCUUCGGGUUGUAAAGUACUUUCAGCGAGGAGGCGUUACUCGCAGAAGAAGCACCGGCUAACUCCGUGCCAGCAGCCGCGGUAAUUC